CAAUAGCGUAUAUUAAAGUUGUUGCAGUUAAAAAGCUCGUAGUUGAAUUUCUAGUUAGUUGCUAUUCGGUCUCCAGAUCAGUAGCAGUUAGCUAUCCGACACUGAACUAUGACGGUUAUUAAGUUAACCCCAUAGCGAAUUGUCAUUUUACUUUGAAAAAUUAGAGUGUUUCAGGCAGGCAAUUGCCCGAAUAUCUUAGCAUGGAAUAAUGGAAUAGGACUUUGGUUCAUUUGAUUGGUUAUUGAAUCAGAGUAAUGAUUAAUAGGGACAGUUGGGGGCAUUAGUAUUUAAUUGUCAGAGGUGAAAUUCUUGGAUUUAUUAAAGACUAACUUAUGCGAAAGCAUUUGCCAAGGAUGUUUUCAUUAAUCAAGAACGAAAGUUAGGGGAUCAAAGACGAUUAGAUACCAU
rnacentral:rRNA from 1 species